UACGUAGGGUCCGAGCGUUGUCCGGAGUUACUGGGCGUAAAGCGCGCGCAGGCGGCUUCAUAAGUCUGGCGUGAAAGCCCCCGGCUCAACCGGGGAGGGUCGUCGGAGACUGUGGAGCUUGAGGGCGGUAGGGGCUGGUGGAAUUCCCGGUGUAGUGGUGAAAUGCGUAGAGAUCGGGAGGAACAUCUGUGGCGAAGGCGACUGCCUGGACCAGCACUGACACUGAGGCACGAAAGCGUGGGGAGCAAACAGG
rnacentral:rRNA from 1 species